UCACCAUGUGGCAGCAACGGCCAUUUCGUGGCUAAGAAAGAGCCCCGGUGCCUGGCAACAAAGAGUACCCCUGGCUCAGGCUCUCUACACAUUAAUUCCACAGGGGCUGAACCUGGGACAUCCGAGCACCGCGGCCUCCUUCGCCCUUCGAUUGUUUUGCUGGUACUUGCCGGAUGUUGCUUUGACUGAGGUCUGGCAGAGCCCCCAGGGCAUCUUAUAAGCCACUCCUCACCUGAUCAGACCCACUGGGCCAGGACCUCAGGAUGCUUCCCAAGGCUGGAUCUCCUAUCUCUACCAGUGGGACAACUGACUGGAACCUGGAAUUCAGUGCCGUCCUUCACACCAUCAGGAGGAGAAUGAUCUAUGAUUGGCUGGUGAGCACAUGCGUGUGAGAUCAAGGCUUGAAUACAUGAGUGCUGUGGUGGUUCAAAUAUGC
rnacentral:lncRNA from 1 species